rnacentral:rRNA from 1 species
AGCGAACGCUGGCGGCAGGCCUAACACAUGCAAGUCGAGCGGGCACCGCAAGGUGUCAGCGGCAGACGGGAGAGUAACACGUGGGAACGUGCCCUUCGGUCCGGAAUAACUCGGGGAAACCCGUGCUAAUACCGGAUACGCCCUUACGGGGAAAGAUUUAUCGCCGAUGGAGCGGCCCGCGUCUGAUUAGCUAGUUGGUGAGGUAAUGGCUCACCAAGGCGACGAUCAGUAGCUGGUCUGAGAGGAUGAUCAGCCUCACUGGGACUGAGACACGGCCCAGACUCCUACGGGAGGCAGCAGUGGGGAAUAUUGGACAAUGGGCGCAAGCCUGAUCCAGCCAUGCCGCGUGGAUGAUGAAGGCCUUAGGGUUGUAAAGUCCUUUUAACGGGGAAGAUAAUGACGGUACCCGUAGAAUAAGCCCCGGCUAACUUCGUGCCAGCCGCCGCGGUAA